UGUUCCUGUGGUUCUGGUGGACCUUCAGGGACUCUGAUCAGGACUCUAACAGCAGGUUUUGGGGCAGAUUGUCUCUUUAACAGCAGCUGAAGGAGACUCAGGUGAGCUCCGUCAUUAGAAACUGGAUCACAGCUCUUCUCCAGCAGGCGGCGCCACUCUGAGUCUCAGAGACCAGAAGAUCCUGAUCCGGAUCAUCAUGAAGCUGCUUUGAGACGCUGUGAUGUCAUCAGUCCUCCAUCUUGGACUGGAACAAGGCGAGUACGACGCCCUGCCCGAGCAGGCCUUCUCCAUGGUGGGCCCCAUGG